rnacentral:rRNA from 1 species
UACGGAGGGUGCAAGCGUUAUCCGGAUUCACUGGGUUUAAAGGGUGCGUAGGUGGGAAUGUAAGUCAGUGGUGAAAUCUUCGAGCUUAACUCGGAAACUGCCGUUGAUACUAUCUGUCUUGAAUACCGUGGAGGUGAGCGGAAUAUGUCAUGUAGCGGUGAAAUGCUUAGAUAUGACAUAGAACACCAAUUGCGAAGGCAGCUCGCUACACGAAUAUUGACUCUGAGGCACGAAAGCGUGGGGAUCAAACAGG